AACGAACGCUGGCGGCAGGCCUAACACAUGCAAGUCGAGCGAGAUCUUCGGAUCUAGCGGCGGACGGGUGAGUAACGCAUGGGAAUAUGCCUCUUGGUACGGAAUAGCCUCGGGAAACUGAGAGUAAUACCGUAUGUGCCCUUCGGGGGAAAGAUUUAUCGCCAAGAGAUUAGUCCGCGUUGGAUUAGGUAGUUGGUGGGGUAAUGGCCUACCAAGCCUACGAUCCAUAGCUGGUUUGAGAGGAUGAUCAGCCACACUGGGACUGAGACACGGCCCAGACUCCUACGGGAGGCAGCAGUAGGGAAUCUUAGACAAUGGGGGCA
rnacentral:rRNA from 1 species